rnacentral:piRNA from 1 species
CUAGAAGGGCCACAGUGCAC